ensembl:lncRNA
UCACGCACACUCUUGUACAUUGGGUCCCCACCCGCUUCAGCCCAUAAAGAUUUAAUCAACGUGUCGAGAGACAAAAUCAGCCUCAUUAAACAUUCACUGCCGCUUGGCAGGUAGCCAUUCUGUUCCUGCCUUACUCACGCAACAACACACCCGUUUCCUCAAAUCCACAUCGAAUCACAAGGAUCGCCUCUCUCUCCUACCCACAAAGGCUAAACUGCAGGAGAAGCAGAUUUAGACACGGCCCUGAUUUCUUCACGGGUGGAAUGUGCCGUGUGUCCGUGUAAGACAACAUCAAUGCUUCAACCGAGACCUUAGACGGAGUAAUCUGUAAUUCCCUUGUUUUUUCUCUUAAGACGCCACAUAUUCGGUGAAUGUAAAUGUUGUGGCCGUCUGGAGCCGACCGGCACCCGGGAAAGUCUACACGACCUGCUGUAGUCACGUGCACAAGAACUGUACACCCGGUAGUAGCGAGAUGCAUUGGUGCAUUGCAUGUGUAGGAGUUUUAUUUACCUCGGCAUCUGCUCCUCCGCCUUCUCAACAAUUGGUGUGUAGGUGUGUUUGUGUGUGUGUGUGUGUGUGUGUGUGUGUGUGUGUGUGCGCGCACAGUUCUUUGCAUUGUUAGUGCAGGGUUACGUAACGCGUGGCAACUAGAGUUCACAGACCGUUUUGAGUUUCUUCAUUUCAGAUUUGCAGGUUGAAUGUGAAGCGAGAGGAUAUCCUAUUUACGAUACUGCGGCAGAGGGGAGAUGAAAGGAAAGGGGAAAACAAAGAACAGAGAGCAAGGGGAUAAGGGAUAAGACGGAGGAUAGGAGGGGAGGAAGGAUUAGAAGAGACAAGUUGAUAGGCGAAAAGAAAAGAAAGGGGAGUAAAGGGAGUAACGAGAGUGUAAAUGUUUGCUCGCUAUCAACAGCAGCUGUUAUCUAACACUCGGAAUACAUAAACAAACACUCACAUUUUCCUUCUUUCGUGUUAGAUAAUACGACAGCAUAAUCAGCAGGUAUCUGCCUCCUCUCACUGGCCUCUGGAUGAGAAUAAAACAAUGCAUGACAUACUGUUCCUCCUCCAUCCUUCACACUGUUGUUCUCCCCUCUCUCUUCCUUAUCUCUAUACUCCCACUAUCCUUCCAUCAUUCCUCCAUCUCUCCUACCAUCUAACCUGCUUCCCACCCUGCGUCCUUCCUCACUCCCACCUCUCUUCCAUCAUCCCUCCAUCACCAACCCUGCCUUCCCAUUACAGAACACCCCGUGCCCCACCUCCUUCACCGACUCCUUCCUUUUAUUCCUCUCUCAUAGAUUUGUUUCCCAUUCGACAAAGCUUUUAUCUUUCAUAUUACAAAUAUUAGUGAACCAUUUAUACACAACAACAAACAAACACACACAUACACACACACGCUUACAGUACAACACAGCAAAAGAGAAAACAAAAUACCUUCCCCCAGAUGAUUCUAGGUUAUAUAAAUGUUUUAUUGGAUUUCUUGACAUUUGCUGUAUAUUUUCAAUGUGGUUUCACACAGAUUCAAUGAUGCACAAAGACCAGGAGGCUUAUGUGAAGCGAAGCAAAGCGUAUUUAUUAACCAUGCGACUGAAUUAACUCUGUUGUCUGAUGUUUAGAUUUAUAUUUUUGCUCUUUUUAUAUCACACAAGGCUUUGAUGUUCAUAGAGACUAAGGUUAUGUCAUUUUUCAGAUUGGGAUGAAGAUACAUGAUAUUUAAAUAUCGAACUCACUGUUGAGUUUGAUCAAACAGCAACAGUUUGCGAGGUACAUUAAACUGACAAAUAGAACAGAAAGGAUUUUCUUUUUUCCUUUGUUUGCCUAAAGUGGUAAACUUUUAUUUCCUGUACUGAAUACGAACAUGUGAUGUGGGAUGGGAGGCCUUUUUGAAAAAGAUUAACAUGCUGUUAGUGUAGAGCAACCGACCAGGGCGGAUCUGUUGUACACAAUCACAGACACUCGUGCACUGUGGUUUUACCCAGUGUUUUACCCGUCACAUUGAUUCUGUAUUGUGUGUGUGUGUGUGUCUGUAUGAAAGCAGUGGUCCCUCAAAAUGGUGGAGGGAACAUGCCACUGUUUUGUCCCCCCCAACAAAAAAUACAAUUGUUGACUGGGGAAAUUCUGCAUUCAAGUCACUGAGAAAACUCAUUAGAAAAUAUUUUGCAAGCAAGUCACAGAUCCAAAAUCUUUAAACCAGUCUAACAAAAGCAAAUUAAAUUGUUUUGAAAGUUCCAUUUGCUGAUAUAACACAAUGCAUCAAUAAACAGUGUUGCAGUGGCUCCUUAUUUUCCAUGCAUCAUUAACCCAAAAGCAAUGCUGCACCCGACCAGAGUCUGUUUGAACCCUACAAUAGAGGUUGUAUGUGAAAGGACCCAAUAUUCAUACGAAUGACUAAUCUUCACAUCAACAGACCAUCAUUGACAAAGGUUGAAAGGUCCAUUAUAAUGAUUGGUUCCUGCACAAUACCAAUCAGCGACUGCAAAAAUUUUAAUUAAUCCUAAAACAAAGAAAUGCUAAAUUAAAACCAUCAGUCCGUACAUCCCCAGCAUUUGCUACAGUUGGAUGUUGGAGCAGCGAGGUUACUAUGAGGCAGUUACACAAAUUGUAAGUAAGGAGACUCUGUAACACAGUCAAAUCAGUUCAGCUUGCCUCGGGACAUAAACUGCUCAUUUAAGGAGAUUUUCCUUGGUUAAACAGAAAAGAGUCUGCUCUACUUUUUUUUAACCUGCUAAUCAAAGUUCAAAGAAUAAUGGAAAUGGCUGCUGGCGGCAGUCUGUGUUUGGCUCAUUGAAUCGUAUUCACAGUAUAUCCAUUUAACGGAACGGGCCAAAAAAAACCCAAAUUAUUGCAUCGUUGCAGCGUCUUUUUAAGAUUGCUAAUGAAUUCGGAAGAGUACAUUUUAGAGCUUGAACAAUUAUUCAAUUGAUUAGAAGAUCGACGGCAAUGACUUUACAAGUUUUAAAAUGGGAGCAGUCAGACAUUUUUUUGUUUUAAGAUACUACUUUUUGAUGUCAAAAUAGAAAAAUGGCUAAAAGCUUUGAGACAAUGCCGCCAAGACCAAGUCCACAGCGGUUUAAUGUUGAGGUUUUACGCCCUUUAUUCUCUGCCCUGCUCACACUCCAUUGAAUUUGUCAUUCUAGACAGAUGCACACCCCAAUAAUCAUCCAUCUUACGCUUGCAGUAUCAGACAACUGACAGAUUACUUCCUGUGGCUGCUUGUGUUUUUGGUUUUCAUAGCUAUCUUUCCACCGUGUUAACAAUUGCUAGUUUGUUUUAUAGCAAAUAUGUCAUGGAGAAAGUGUGUGCUGUCUCUCCUGAUGCUGGAGGAGAUCACAUGUGCAAAUUGCUCCCCGGCAUCAUUACAUUGCUUAAGGCCACAGUGCAAAGGAAGCCAGUGCGGCUUUGUAAUAUCCUGCUGUGUAAUAAAUGCACACGUGUCUCACUGUUAUGGCGGUAACUUUGUGCUGUCUUCACAUGUAACAGCUCUGGAUUUACAGACACCUUAGGCUCAGGCCUAAAUGCUGAAAAUGAUGAGAUUGCACUUUAGCAGAGUUGUUAUGCUCAUUCAGUAUCUGCCACUAAUCUCACCAACAGCCACUUCAUUAAAGUAGUGUGCCAGUAAACGAUGGCUCUGUACUGUCGAUGUUCCAGCGCUCAUUGUUGUCGCACGGCAGCUGAAACACAGGCACGUAGCAGUCGCAGUGUACAGAUGGAUUUCAUUGCAAUACUCCAGACAGGCCUGUUAAUUUGCAAUUACAACAUUAAAAUAUUAAUUAUCGACUCAAUGGCCUCCUACUGUGCUGGUUGUCUCCUGUUAUCCCUCGAGACGAGUAAGAAUUUGUAUUUAGAUGAACAAAGACAGAGCUGCUGUUUACCUCUGUUGACUGCGUUCAGUAAUGUUGCAACACCCGUUGUCGAAAUAUCCGCUGGUCUCUUAGAGUUAAUUCAAUUAAAUUGUAAAAUGAUCUGUGGAGCUCUGUGUCUGCUCAAAAGCCUUCCCUGAAUGCACUUAAUAUGAAAUGUCUGUUUGCCCUUGGAUAAAAGUCCUUCACUGUUCCAUAGUCGGCUGCAUACGGAGACACACACACACAAUCUAAGAGGCAUUUCAUUCCAAAUGUGUGUUUAUCUAUGCUUAUUCAAUUGUCUGUUUACCCCCUGACUUACCGCUCACUUAAAACACAACUAAGAAAGCUGCAGGGAAAACUUCCACUGACACAGAAUAGGGACAAAGGCAGGGAAAUAAUGUGUAUCUGUAAUCAUUAUUGAAUGGGGGUGGGGUGGGACUAGUCCCGAAUGUGCUUAUGAAUUCUGAAUAAUUUUAAAUCCCUUAUUGAAUCAUGUUAAGUUGUUUGUUUUGUCAUCAAUGCCAAAUGCAAAAUAAUAUGUAACCAUGCCCAUUCUUUCAGGACUCUUUAGGCUGCAGCUCUGCACAAAGAUAAUGAUGCAACAUAAUGGCUGCCAAAAUAUAUAGACAAAAUAUCUCAAAUUUGACAUUUAAAAUGGUAUGGAAGGGGUUUCUGACGAUAUAAUCGGUGAUGAUAAUUGAUUUGACCAAAUUACAGAUCAUAUAAUGUCCUUGUCAAUGUGUACAUGCAUACAGCAGCUGGCAUUAUGAUUAAUGUAUGUGACGUUUUUAAGUAUAAUAGACAAAAAAAAUACAAUUCAUUAUUUUUUCAAACUCAGACUUCGUGGGCUGCAAUUGGGAUGAAGUGAACGUCUGUUGAGUAUUUUAACAUAAAAUUGUUUGAUUGCGUUAUUAUUAAAACCCCCAAGUACAGCGUGUCCAACAGACCCACAACACCGACUGUGUAACAAAAAAUUAACACCAUAGGAGGGUUAAACUAAAAACUACUAAGAACUACUUUCAGUAUUGUUUCAUCAUCAGUACUUUUGUGUAGUGUGUCUACUUUAUUCUAAGUGCCAACAAUACAGUGUGCAAACAUUCUGUCUUCCUCAGCUCUCCUUUUAAGUGAAAUCUCAUUUAUUCAACUCGUCUGUGGGAAAUCCCUCAAAGCACAGUCUCUCCCCCAACCACAACAUGUACUGACUCUCAGACUCUUCCUCAUGCAUCUAGUCAAAAGCACCGGUGUUUGUGUUUGUGUAGUUAAUCCACACACAUUUAUAUUCCAAACGGAGCCGCAUUGAGCUGCCUUUCCAUUUGGGUGCAGGUUGAAAUCACAUUGGGAUUCCGUUUUUUCAAUUGAAACUCUAGUUAAAAAAGCCCUUAAAAGUCUACAACCUAUACACACCAAAUCAACCACUACAGAAAAAAACUAGUAUUUUAUGUCUGCAGUUGCUUUCAAUGCUGAAUUUGUAACAAUUAUUGCCGCUGAAUAUUUAUGUGUCUGUUAGAAUAAUAAUAGACACAUUAUAAGGAUCAACCUGGUAUACUUUGACAGCAAAACGGUACGGUGCACCCCAGUUGGCGGAGAGCUUUGUCCCUCCCUGCAUGGAGAGAGAGAGGCGGAGCCCGGGGGACCUUUACCCCGCCCCUUUAGAGCCAGCCAGGUAGGAAAUACACCUGCUGAGGACCAGUCCGUUCUGGGGACAGAGCGACAAGAAGUCCAGGCUCAGAACUGCCUCCCACUCUCAUUUUCAGUUGCAAGUAUGAUUAACUGAGAUCAAGAAAAAGUAAAUGUAAAAUUCACGGUGAGGCCUGCGUAGCCACCAACGCCAGGUAAACCGCGGCAGGCUUUGCUCAGAUGGUGCUUUUAGUUGGCAUGCUCAUGACUUGUAAUGCUGUCUCUCUAGAGGACUCUUCCACCCAUUUCCGUGAAAUUGAUUUGCGCGCCGUGAAAUUACGGGAAGUGGUUCAGGUGGAAGAGAAAAUCUCCAAUGAAGUUGCCACCUCGCCGAGGAACAGUCACUCCGCUUGAUCCGGUGCCGAUCUCAAACGAGGACCUCCUCGUCCUCGAGCCACCGUUCAGCUCUACCACUGUAGAGAGGAGCAACCGGAGCUUCGGCACCAACAUCUUCUCUCCUCUGUCACUUACGGGGUCACCGUGCUUCUGGCAUCAAUUGCCCAUCAGAUUCUCAGCGGAGGGUUAUUUGUCGUCUGGGUUUAGGAAGCGGUGUGAAACGCGGGAAGCUUUGUGAUUCCUGCUGAAAACGUGAAGCACGUGGAGGGGAAGAGGUGCCCUCAUGUGCGUAUCUUAAAUGUCUGUAAUUUCACUCUCAAAAGAUUUGAUCACAGCACUCUCAAUUAGUUAAGAGUUAGAAUCGUGUUUGAACAAAAACACACGGUACGGAGCACAGGCUCUUUCAAGCUUUGCUGUGGCGCUGCCGGAUGAAUGAGACAGUUUUAGACUCCUUUGUUGUGCCAUGCCCUCUAUUUCACUCCAUGCCGCGAACUAAAGACGUCAGCUUCGGCUGAUCAGCUCUUCCCCUCGUCACUCCCUCUAAUCAGUGGAUUGAGGUCGCAAUUACACACCAGUCUUGCUUCUUACUCUUUCUCGUUGACUUUGUGUAUGUGUGGGCAUUUUGCUUAUGCAUGUGUGGGAUUGGGAGAUGCAUUGUGUGCUUGCAGAGGAAAUUAUUUUUUUUGCAAUUUCUUUUUUGCAAGGUAGAGGAUAAUAAAAAAGUAGAUUAUUUCACAGCUAAUGCAUGACUUUUUCUGAUGGCAUUCACAGUUGAGGAAUAAUUAAGGGAUAAUAAUAAGUGCUGCAAUGUAGUUGAAAAGAAGCUCGUGAAGACAGGGAUGAAUAAGUUAGCUUACUUAAAAUACUGGAUAAAAUGCUGGACAAAUGCAGCAAAAAAAUUACUUUUACAAAUACUGUUUUCCGACUUGAUUCAUGAUUAGUAAUAUUAGGGAUGUUAACCCUUCACAUUCAAACAGAUAACUGUAACCAACUAUGUCUAUUUUUUUGCCACUUUACAUUUGUCACGGUUUGGGUUUAUUUCCUGUCUUAUUUUGUAGUUUUCUGCCUCUUGUCUCCCUGGGUAACUGCACUUCCUGCCUUGUCCUGUCAUCCCCUGUGAUUGUCUGCCGUGUCAUGAUUGUUUCCACCUGUGUCCAAUCACCUGCACCUUCCCAGUGUAUUUAAGUCAUGUGUGUCUCUUGUCCCUUGUCGUGUCCUGUAGUCCUAGUCAGUGUUCCUGGUUCAUGUCUGAAUUUUUCUCCCUUGGCCUUCUUGUUUUGGAAUUUUGACUAUUAAAGUAUUUUUGUUUUCUCGAAACUCUGCGUUUGAGUCCUGCCUUCACCGCAUCCGUGACAAUAUUGUAAUAACAACAAUAAAAUAUCACACUGUGCGAGAGGAGAGGUCUGUUCAACCAGGUGACUCGUUCUUUGUGUGUGUGUCACAGCAGAGACACUGGUGGAAAGAAGUAGGCGGACCAUGAAUAAUGCAUGAGCUUGACAGAAGAAACAGAACUCAACUUUUUGCUCCUGAAAUGGUCAAUGAAGUUGUUCUGCCUUCCUUGUGCAUUAAUGUGCAAAUGUUCUGCGAUACUCGACUGUGAUUCAUUUUUGUGAUUCAUGAUGUAUAACAUCAUCCACCCGCCACCCAUUUCUUAUUAAUCAGAAUUUAAAACAUUAUGCACUUGCAAUUGUAUUUCACUGCAGUUGUAUCUUGUACUAAAUGACGAAAUAAAUUAAUUGAUUGAUAACAUAAAGCAUGCAUCAAGGAUAAAUAUGCCAUCCUUAUUAAAGUUAUUUUAGUAAGAUGAAACAAAUAAUAUAUUCUAUUUACAGCAUGCCGUUGAGAACCUACUAAGCUGAGGAGCACAGGCUUUAUAGCAAAUGUCACACUGUGGUCAAAUGGUAGAAUUAGAGAUACUAUGUCUGUCAUGUGACAAUAUAUUUCCCAGAGAUUUAAAUUGAAAAAAAGAUAUCUGUAACUCAACGGAUGAUUUUAGCUGAAGGAGAAUCCAAGUAAAGCUACACUGAAAUAACCAUCAUGUAAAUCAUUUGACCAAGAAAGUUGAGAAAUGCACCAAUGCACGGUGCACACAAAUAAGGUUUCCAAAUAGCAACUCUAAGACACAAGUGCACUUCCUAAAUACCUAGAGAGUUUUAUAUAUUACAUUAUUCCAUUAAAGUUGUUUUGACAGAAAACAAGCAAAUAAAUCAUUUGACAGGGACCUCUCGUCUCUUGAAGAGAACUCAUCGUGAAAUCCCUCCCCAGACUGAUCUCACUGGGAGCAAACUGGCAACCAUUCAAUCACACGACGUAGGAGAGAAGCUGCGAUGAAAGUGGGUUAGAGAAACUGAGCAGCGGAAUCACUGGCGCAACGCGUGUGUUUUUCAGAUAUUUUGGAGCAUCUCAGGCAGCGAUUGUUUUUCUAAAAUGAACAUACAGCACACCAACAUUUCAACCACCAAGUGUAACCAAUGUUUCCAGGCAACGUGGAACUGAAAGUCGCGCGGUUGAAAAUGGCUCGGUGGGAUCGUGGGAGUUGGGAUUUUUUUUUAACUGAAACUCUUUGUACUCGACCCUCGACAGUCCAUAUCGAGGCCUCGGGGGGAGCUCCGGGGACUGAUAAAAACUUCACUAAUGGGUGAAAUGUUUCAUCUCUCCAUCUCAUCUCCUGCAACUGUGUUUGUCUAUCACUCUGUUUUGUGUCGUCUCCCUUCCACUGCGUACUCUCGUCGCCUCCUGUCCCACUUUGUCGCUCCUUAUGUCUCACCUGGUUUUCAGACUGUCAGCGAAACUUAAAAGCUUCUUCUUCUCCUCUGAUAUCUUCUGAAGCGAAAGGGAGGAGUCUAAAUGAUGUGUGAACGUUCUGCGUCGAGAUAAAAUUACACAAGAGACGGGAAGCCUUACUCUUACUCUGGUAGCUCAUGUUCAAUACGUGUCACGGUUACUAACCAUUGUCAGCUAUUGUCUGUCUCUCUGUCAAGACUCCUGCUGGUCAGUGUUCUGCACUGUGAUAGGGGGGCGUUAUACCAGCCCGACCAUCAACAACUGUAUAUUGAUCCAAAGGAACAUGUCCGGAGUGUAAAGAGCAGCAGGCAUAUUCUUUUUAUUUACACGCACACACGUUAAGGCAGAAAACUGGACACCACUUACAGGACCUGCAGUGAACCCUGCUAUUGUAGCUGGUAUUGUCGUCUAUUUUCCUUAUUGUACCAUAUUUAUAUGCAAGACUGGCAUUUUAAAGGGAUUUACUUUUGUUCAUUACCGGUUCAUUUUUUGCCGACUUUAAACCAGUGUCAUGCAACCACAUGUUGUAUCGUGUUAAGGGUAGUCUAUACGUGCGUUUUGAAAAAAUACAUUUAAAUACAUGUUGUUAACAUCAUAGUAUCUGGAGUUUGUAUUCAGCUUCUUGCCCCUAGACUUUGUUAUGGACAGUAACCGGUGCACUGGUCAUUUAUUUAUUCUUUAGCAGUAUUAGCAAAUCAGCUUCGGACAUUAGCAUUGAUAGUUAAAAAAACUACUUUAUUUUGUUAUUGAGAGAAGAGAAUACAAAAACAUAACAUUAGAGACCUAACAAAAGUCACUAUUCUUAAUCAUUAAACACAUAAAGAACAUAAACACCAUUGCUUUCUGAAGAAUAUAAAAACACAGGAUUGACGUGGACCGUAAUUAAGCCCUCUGCAGUUUCCGCUCUACUUCCU